GACCCGCGCCUGGCCAGUUGAUGGCGUCGUACUUAAGUUUCUCUUUUUCUUAAAUUAUCUUUUAGAUGACAUUCAGGAUUUUCUUCAUUGGAUUCUGAAAAUCUUUCCCGUGUAGCUAUCUUUUCCAUUUGUAAUAUGUGUCUUUUCCAAUGUUCUCUAUUAGAAUUCUGUCGAUCUUCUAACGUUUCAUUUUUUCGAAUUAAGCGCAAUCUUUUAGCAGCGGGAGUUAAUCUAUUUAAAGAGUACCCUCUUUUUCCUGCCAUUAUCAAAUUUAUACGAAACUACCAUAUACAAAAACUUUAUAUGAAAACAGCGGGUGAAACGACACAGUCUCGAGCCAAGAGCAUCAAGAAACACGUGCAUUAAUCUCGAAUACACAUUCUUCUACAUAAUAAAAACUUCAUUAGUGAAAAUCAUGAAAUGGUCACAAAUUGAAAAAUGCUGAUAGAUUAAACAAAAUCGGUAGCCGCGUAAAUAAUUCGAAAAUUUUUAUAAAAUUCCAUUAUUGUAAGUCAAAUUGUACGUUGCUACGGCCAUGACGGUUUCGACUCUUCA
rnacentral:lncRNA from 1 species